ACAGGGAUUGCCCUAGUAACGGCGAGUGAAGCGGCAACAGCUCAAAUUUGAAAUCUGGCGUCUUUGGCGUCCGAGUUGUAAUUUGCAGAGGGCGCUUUGGCAUUGGCAGCGGUCCAAGUUCCUUGGAACAGGACGUCACAGAGGGUGAGAAUCCCGUACGUGGUCGCUAGCCUUUACCGUGUAAAGCCCCUUCGACGAGUCGAGUUGUUUGGGAAUGCAGCUCUAAAUGGGAGGUAAAUUUCUUCUAAAGCUAAAUACUGGCCAGAGACCGAUAGCGCACAAGUAGAGUGAUCGAAAGAUGAAAAGCACUUUGGAAAGAGAGUUAAAAAGCACGUGAAAUUGUUGAAAGGGAAGCGCUUGCAGCCAGACUUGCCUGUAGUUGCUCAUCUAGGUUUUUACCUAGUGCACUCUUCUAUAGGCAGGCCAGCAUCAGUUUGGGCGGUUGGAUAAAGGUCUCUGUCAUGUACCUCUCUUCGGGGAGAACUUAUAGGGGAGACGACAUGCAACCAGCCUGGACUGAGGUCCGCGCAUCUGCUAGGAUGCUGGCGUAAUGGCUGUAAGCGGCCCGUCUUGAAACACGGACCAAGGAGUCUAACAUCUAUGCGAGUGUUUGGGUGUCAAGCCCGAGCGCGUAAUGAAAGUGAACGGAGGUGGGAACCUUUCGGGGUGCACCAUCGACCGAUCCUGAUGUCUUCGGAUGGAUUUGAGUAAGAGCAUAGCUGUUGGGACCCGAAAGAUGGUGAACUAUGCUUGAAUAGGGUGAAGCCAGAGGAAACUCUGGUGGAGGCUCGCAGCGGUUCUGACGUGCAAAUCGAUCGUCAAAUUUGGGCAUAGGGGCGAAAGACUAAUCGAACUAUCUAGUAGCUGGUUCCUGCCGAAGUUUCCCUCAGGAUAGCAGUAACGUUUUCAGUUUUAUGAGGUAAAGCGAAUGAUUAGAGGCCUGGGGGUUGAAACAACCUU
rnacentral:rRNA from 1 species